rnacentral:rRNA from 1 species
UACAGAGGGUGCAAGCGUUGUUCGGAAUUACUGGGCGUAAAGCGCGUGUAGGCGGCUUUGUAAGUCGGACGUGAAAUCCCUCGGCUCAACCGAGGAACUGCGUCCGAUACUGCAGAGCUUGAGUGUCGGAGGGGAUGGCGGAAUUCCCGGUGUAGAGGUGAAAUUCGUAGAUAUCGGGAGGAACACCUGUGGCGAAGGCGGCCAUCUGGAAGACAACUGACGCUGAGACGCGAAAGCGUGGGGAGCAAACAGG